rnacentral:rRNA from 1 species
CAGCCGCCGCGGUAAAACGAAGGGUGCAAGCGUUACUCGGAAUUACUGGGCGUAAAGCGUGCGUAGGUGGUGGUUUAAGUCCGUUGUGAAAGCCCUGGGCUCAACCUGGGAAUUGCAGUGGAUACUGGGUCACUAGAGUGUGGUAGAGGAUAGUGGAAUUUCCGGUGUAGCAGUGAAAUGCGUAGAGAUCGGAAGGAACAUCUGUGGCGAAGGCGACUAUCUGGGCCAACACUGACACUGAGGCACGAAAGCGUGGGGAGCAAACAGGAUUAGAUACCCCUGUAGUCCCUGUCUCUUAUAC